rnacentral:lncRNA from 1 species
UCAAAUAUAUUUCUAUAGAAAUUCCAAUCAUAAGAGGCAUACAAUACGAGCACUCAUCUUCCUAGUAAUGCAAAGUAUUAAUAUGAGUUUGUACUUUAUAACAUAAUUUGUACUAUCCAUAGAUCUACUUUAAUUCUAUUUAAUUGCUAGAUCUUUGAUGCUCACAUAAUUUCAUGAUAUUCUCAUACUCCGACUUCUGAAACAAAAACUCCAAGAAAAAGAUGAACUCCUUAGAGAUUGAAGACCUCAAAGCUAUCAAUAUCCUAUAGUGCCCAUUCUAUUGCGAA